rnacentral:lncRNA from 1 species
AUGCUUCUAGAUGCUUCAGGAAAAGUGCUGUGUCAGCUUGCCCUGCUAUUCCCAAUGCACAGAAAAUUUGGGGGAUGACCAGAAAAUGCAGCCCAGCUCUACAGAAGCCUCCCAGGCCUCCAGGUGUCUGGAAAAUAAGAUCCACAGGGUGUCCAUGAGAAGUCCAUCCAGGUGUCCAGAAGAAACAAUCUUCUCAAAGACCAGUGGAUUUCCAUGUCCCUGGAUUCCACCCCACUGCUACCUACUGCAUCAGACUUCGAGUCAGUGCAACAAAACAGACAUUUCCCAUCUGACAAUGGAGGCUUUUCCUCUUGGCUUCAAAACCCACUCACCUCAAUUAGCAAGACCUGAAGACAUUUUGAUAAGCUUAAGCCAGGACAUGUUCUGUAAAGAAAACAGCCCUGCUGAAAGGGUUGCUGCUCUGGGGGGCCCUUUUCUGCUGCUUUUGGAGUGUAACAACCACUUACAUUAA